GAUGAACGCUGGCGGUGUGCCUAAUACAUGCAAGUCGAGCGAACAGACGAGGAGCUUACUCCUCUGACGUUAGCGGCGGACGGGUGAGUAACACGUGGAUAACCUACCUAUAAGACUGGGAUAACUUCGGGAAACCGGAGCUAAUACCGGAUAACAUGUUGAACCGCAUGGUUCAACAGUGAAAGACGGUCUUGCUGUCACUUAUAGAUGGAUCCGCGUCGCAUUAGCUAGUUGGUAAGGUAACGGCUUACCAAGGCAACGAUGCGUAGCCGACCUGAGAGGGUGAUCGGCCACACUGGAACUGAGACAAGGUCCAGACUCCUACGGGAGGCAGCAGUAGGGAAUCUUCCGCAAUGGGCGAAAGCCUGACGGAGCAACGCCGCGUGAGUGAAGAAGGUCUUCGGAUCGUAAAACUCUGUUAUUAGGGAAGAACAAAUGUGUAAGUAACUAUGCACGUCUUGACGGUACCUAAUCAGAAAGCCACGGCUAACUACGUG
rnacentral:rRNA from 1 species